rnacentral:tRNA from 1 species
GCAGGGGUCGUUCAGUUGGUAGGACGGGGGUCUCCAAAACCCAAGACAGGGGUUCGAUUCCCCUCCCCUGUGCCA